rfam:Brachypodium distachyon strain Bd21 chromosome 2, whole genome shotgun sequence.
UCUCUACCCCUUUCGUCCAACAAAAGAUGUCUCAAGUUUGUCAAAAUUUGGAUGUAUCUAGACAUGACUUAGUGUAUAGAUGCAUUCAAAUUUAGUCAAAGUUGAGACAUCCUUUGUUGGACGGAGGAGUAUUUU